rnacentral:rRNA from 1 species
UACAGAGGGGGCAAGCGUUUAUUCGGAAUUAUUGGGCGUAAAGGGCGCGUAGGCGGCCUGGCAAGUGGAAGGUGAAAUCCCUCGGCUUAACCGAGGAACUGCCCUCCAAACUGCUUGGCUUGAGUCCGAGAGAGGUGAGUGGAAUUCCCAGUGUAGAGGUGAAAUUCGUAGAUAUUGGGAAGAACACCGGUGGCGAAGGCGGCUCACUGGCUCAUUACUGACGCUCAGGCGCGAUAGCGUGGGGAUCAAACAGG